UGUCAAUUGUCUGAUUGAUUUUGCUAGUUAUUACAUACGUAUAUAUAAUGACUACUGCUAAUGGAUUUAUCCAAAUCUCCUAGGAAUAUUUGCAUAACAGAAUUGGUUAUGGAUGCAUCCUUGCAGGGGACAUUCGAAUCUAGCAAAUCCUUCAUUGUGCCAGCUCAACUCCUCUUCCUUUGCAUUCUGAUAUCAGGCAUAAUCCUUGAGAUAUGCGGGCCUGGUAACCUUUCUCUUUGCUUUUGCUAAUUGCACACCUUCCUUGUUGAUUGAUUCCCCAAUUUGCCCUUCUGAUGCUACAUCUGUUAAUAUACUGCUAUCAACUUCCUUCGGCCCUUGGAGAAUCACCUUGUCCUCAAGGUGAUGAUCCUGCUUAAGCUGUUCCCAGUCCUCCCAAGAGGAUUCAUCAGGGGAAAGUCCAUGCCACUGGACCAAUACUUCCCACGUGUCCCUCUCCUUAUGUCGUCGAUAAUCAAGAAUGGCAAGCGGUGUAAGCAUCGGUUGACCGUUAAUAAAGCGUGUCGGCAGUGAAUUGGGUGAAUCAAGAAUGGGGUCUCCGUGGAAUGGCUUCAAAAGGGAACAGUGAAAUACCGGAUGGAUACGAGCCCCAUCAAGAAGCUUCAAACGAUAGGCUACCUUACCCACACGUUCUAUGAUCUGAAACGGUCCAUAGAAGCGCUUGGACAAUUUGCCAGUCACUGCCUGAGCACCCUUCACUGAGCUUUGUCGAUAAGGACGAAGCUUCAAUAAUACCCAACUGCCGGGCUCAUAAUUAACCUCUCUCCGUUUGGCAUCCGCAGUUUUCUUCAUGGAAACCUGUGCCUUGAGUAAUUUCCGGCGAAUAGUAGUGAACACUUCAUCACGAGACAAGAGAAGAUCAUCUACUGCAUCAAUUUUAGAGGAUCUUGCAAUAUAAUCUGGAAAAGAAAAAGGCUUGCGUCCAUAUGUUAUCUCAUAAGGGGUUGAGCCUGUGCUGCUAUUCCAUGAAGUAUUAUGAGAUAGUUCUACCCAGGGUAAGAACUUCCCCCACGAUGUUGGCCUACGAUGAACAAAAGCUCGUAAAUAACCUUCAAUUACUCUGUUCAUGACUUCUGUCUGUCCAUCACUCUGUGGAUGGUAGGCAGAACUCAUUCGAAGAUGAGUGCCACUAAGCUUGAAGAGCUCUUGCCAAAACCCACUAAUGAACAAUGGAUCACGAUCAGAUACUAGGCUUCUGGGGAUACCAUGAAGCUUGACAACAAUGUUAAUGAAGAGCUGUGCUACCAUGUGAGCGGUAUGGGCCUGAGGCAGAAUGCCCAAAUGGAUCCCCUUUGAAAAACGGUCAACGAUCACCAGGAGCACCGUUUUGCCUUGAAAGGGGGGUAGACCAACAACAAAGUCAAUAGAAAGAUCCUCCCAUGGUCUGAAUGGUACUGGGAGAGGGCAUAGCAACCCCGCAAUGCGUUUCGUUUCAUAUUUUGUGACCUGACAUUCCCUACAAUUGGUGACAUAGGUGACAACAUCAGCCCUGAGUCCUGGCCAAAUGAAAUUCUCCGACAGCCGUGCUAAAGUCUUGGUAACCCCAGCAUGGCCCCCCAUUGGAGUGGAGUGAUACUCUUGUAGUAGGGACUGAAUAAUAGGGAGAUCUCGCGGAAGCCAUAAUCGACCCUUCUGAAGAAUGAAAUUCUGAUGAAUGGUGAAAUCAGAAUGCGAGUCUGGAGAAUCAAGAAUAGCUUGUCGCUUCUGACAAUAUUGUUGAUUAAUAGUCACCUGGUGUUUCAAUUCUUCCAGAAAUGUUAAACAGGGAACUGAGAGUAUCAAAAAUUGGGAAGCAGGAUAUUCCGGUGGAGCAUUUUCCGGUGACCUUGACAAAGCGUCUGCCGCUUGAUUGUGCGCGCCUGAUCGAUAUUGGAUUUGGUAAUCAAAUCCCAUUAAUCGCGCCAGAUACGUGUGCUGUUCGGGGGUUUGAAUCACCUGAGUUAAGAGCUCCUUCAGGCUUCUAUGGUCCGUUAUGAUCGUGAAUUGGUGGCCCAAAAGAUACUGCCGCCACUUCUUCACGGCAGAAGUGAUGGCGAACAAUUCGCGGACAUAGGUUGAUGCCGAUAAUAAUUUCUGAGUGAACGGUUUGCUAAAGUAAGCAAUUGGGUGUCCUUUCUGUGAUAGGACUGCUCCCAUGCCGUUGCCUGAAGCGUCCGUUUCUACCGUGAAUGGAACCUGGAAAUCGGGUAAGGCCAGAACUGGUGCAGUGGCUAAGGCAGACUUAAGAUUCUCGAAAGCUUGUUGAGCGUGAGAAGUCCACUGAAGAGUUUCCAUAGUGGUGAGGCGGACUAACGGCUCUGCAAUCAUAGCGUAUCCGCGAAUGAAUCGCCGAUAAAAACCUGCUAGGCCCAGAAAGCUACGAACAGCUCGGAUGGAUUGAGGUCUAGGCCAAUUAACAAUGGCGGCCACCUUGUCGGUCAUGGGUUCCACUCCUCUGCCUGAAACGAGAUGCCCAAGAUACUCUACCUGCGUUUUUGCAAAGAAGCAUUUAGACAUUUUGAGGACAAAUUGAUUGUCAAGUAAUACCUGGAAGGUUAUGUCCAGGUGUCGGAGAUGAUCCUCAAAGGUUCCGCUAUAAAUAAGAAUGUCAUCAAAGAACACGAUAACAAAACGACAAAGAAAUGGCCGGAAAAUUAAAUUCAUUGUCGCCUGAAAGGAUGACGGCNNNNNNNNNNNNNNNNNNNNNNNNNNNNNNNNNNNNNNNNNNNNNNNNNNNNNNNNNNNNNNNNNNNNNNNNNNNNNNNNNNNNNNNNNNNNNNNNNNNNUGAGUUCGAACGCCGUUUUGGGUAUGUCUGCUGAGUGCAUGCGGAUUUGAUGAUAGCCUUGAAGGAGAUCAAGCUUUGAAAAACACUGUGCUCCGCCCAAUUCGUCAAGCAACUCAUCAAUGGUCGGAAUGGGGAAGCGGUCCUUGAUGGUGAGUGAGUUCAACGCACGAUAAUCUACAUAGAAGCGCCACGUUCCGUCGUGCUUCUUGACCAAGAGGACCGGAGAAGAGAAGGGGCUGUUACUAGGUUGUAUCAGCCCUUUCUGAAGCAUGGUCUCGACUUGCUGCUCAAUUUCCUGCUUUUGAAAAUGUGGGUAUCGAUACGGACGGACAUUCACCGGAGUAGCUUGAGGUAAAAGGUGAAUAUGAUGGUCUGUUGUGCGUUCCGGUGGUAAGGUUUGCGGUUGUCGGAAAAGGAUAUUAUAUUUGGUGAGCAAAGCUUGAAUGGAUGGGUCCACGGGUUCAGAUGAAGUCGAAUGUUCUUCCGAGAGGACUGUGAUAUGAAAGCACAGGCCAGAGGGCUGUGUCUGGCAUAGACGGCGAAACUGAGAAGACGAAAGGGAACUUAGUGUUGCCUCGGGGUCACCCUGUAACUUGAUCAAAUUCCCUUGGUAGAAGAAUUGCAUAGUCAAGGAUGUAUAGUCGGUGAGGACGGGCCCUAACGUUUUAAGCCAUUGCACACCCAAUACCACAUUGGCGCCGGAGAUGGGCAGUAUAUGCAAGUCGACGAUGAAGGUUUGAUUCUGAAUAUGAAUGUUAAUGGCGUCACAGAUAGAGGUACAUUCCAGGUAUUGACCGUUGCCGACCAUUACCCGUAGUGGUGCGGUUUCCCGACAAGGUAAUCCCAAGUGAGUCACCAAUUGUUGCUGGAUGAAAUUGUGGGUGCUACCCCCAUCGACCAGCAACAAUAAAGGAUGACCGAAAAUGCUUCCCAUGAGCCGAAUAGUUUCCGGUGCAACGUGGCCUGCCAGGGAGUUAAGAGAAAUUUGGGCCGGGUAAGAAUUCGGACUAUCGGGUGGGUCAGGGGGUUGUAACUGAGGCGGGUCGUGGGUUAAAGUGUUGGGUAGGUCCGAGCCGAUUAUAAGAAGGUUGGCUGGGUCGUCUUCCUCAGAAAUUAGAAGGAAAAACCUAGAGGCGCACUUAUGCCCUCUAUGGAACUUUUCCUCACAAUUAAAGCAGAGGCCUUUCUCCCUUCGAGAAGCAAUUUCCUCGGGGGAUAGGCGCUUCCAUGCUGAGGGGGGUUGCGAGGUGCAGGUAGUAAAGGGGGAAGAUUUGGUGAGGGUAAGGGAAAAGGUUGUGGUGGGGAUGAAGGGGAAGGAGCUCGUAUGGGCGACGAAGGGAUAGUGGGGGUGAUUCGUGGGGAUAGGGGAGGGGUUGGUGCAGGGCGGAGGCGGGAGGGGGUUCUCAUAUCUGCGAACUUCUCCUCCUGCAACCGUGCGAGACCAGCGGCUUGCACGAGGGUAGCAGGUUGGUGCGCUUGCACUUCCCGGCGAAUCUCCGGCGUGAGGCCGGAGAUAAAGCAACUCAGGAGGAACGGAGUGGGAAGGCCAAUGGUCCGAUUGGCUAAGUCCUCGAAAUCAGCCAAGUAUUGGGCCACGGUGCCCGUCUGAGUGAGUUUGCACAAAGCCCCCGAGGGGUCCUCGAACUGGGAAGGAGCAAAACGUGUACGCAGAGCCUCCAAGAACGCAGGCCACGAAGGGAACUGGUGAGUGGUGUUCAUCCACUGAAACCAUGCAAGGGCCCGACCCUCCAUGUGAAAAGACGCCACGGUAAGUUUAUCUGCCUCUGGGGUAUUAUGGUAGUCAAAAAAUUGGUUUAUUUUAUAAAUCCAUCCCAUUGGUUCUGACCCAUCAAAUCGGGGAACCUCCAAUUUUAAACGAUGAAUUGGAGUUGCAGGUUGAGGAUGUGGUAAUGGAGUCGGAGUGGGCUGAGAAGGUGGGACAAUCGGGGACACACGAUGAAGAAGUUCCUCAAUCUUGAGGGUCAUCGCGUUAACUGAUUCCCCCAAAUAGAGCUGUUGCUUGGUUAAACGGCUGAGAACGUCCUCAAGUUUGUCAUAGGAAGAAGAGGAUUCAUCAGGAGCAGGCAUGGUGGUAGCUCAACGAGAGCACCAAAUUGAUAAGUGUAUGCUGCGGUUAACCUGGGCUUCGAGGGCCAGGGUCCUCCUAAGAAUCAGAUUAAUGAGAAAGAGGAAUAAGAACAGAGUAAGAAUGAGAGGAGUGUCAAUUGUCUUAUUGAUUUUGCUAGUUAUUACACACGUAUAUAUAAUGACUACUGCUAAUGGAUUUAUCCAAAUCUCCUAGGAAUAUUUGCAUAACAGAAUUGGUUAUGGAUGCAUCCUUGCAGGGGACAUUCGAAUCUAGCAAAUCCUUCAUUGUGCCAGCUCAACUCCUCUUCCUUUGCAUUCUGAUAUCAGGCAUAAUCCUUGAGAUAUGCGGGCCUGGUAACCUUUCUCUUUGCUUUUGCUAAUUGCACACCUUCCUUGUUGAUUGAUUCCCCAAUUUGCCCUUCUGAUGCUACAUCUGUUAAUAUACUGCUAUCA
rnacentral:lncRNA from 1 species